GCCAGUGUGUUGUAGAGGUUGAACGCAGGACUAGGACUCUGGGAAACCAGGGUUCGAAUCCCUGCUCAGCCA